rnacentral:lncRNA from 1 species
CUCCUGCCCUAUCAUGUCAGCUGGGCCAGUUGGCCUUUUCUUUCCUUUGCAGUUGAAUGGAAACUUUUGAUUCUUCAUAGGUCCUGGCCCUUUGGACUUAGACUGGAACUGAAUCACCAGCUCUCCUAGGUAUCCAGCUUGCUGACUACAAAUGUUGGGACAUCUUUGCCUCCAUAAUUGUGAAUUGAACUCAGGACCUUGUGCUUGCCAGGCAGGUGUGGUGCCACUGAACUAAAUCCUGGCCCCAGCUUUUCUCAUUUAGCAGGCAUAUUUUGGAGGUUUGUUGAUGUUGUGGCAUUUAUCAGUGCUUAAUUCCUUUGCAUGGCUGAAUGAUAUUUAAUUGUAUGGGUACAUUUGUUCAUCCAUUUCUUAGUUGAUGGAAUUUGGAUUAUUCUACCUUUUGAUUGCUAUGAAUAAUCCUGCUGUGAACAUUUUGCUGUAACUUUUUGUAGGGACAUACUUCUUAAUGGG